UGUGUUGUUGGGUAGGGGAGCGUUCUGUAAGCCUGCGAAGGUGGCCUGUGAGGGUUGCUGGAGGUAUCAGAAGUGCGAAUGCUGACAUAAGUAACGAUAAAGCGGGUGAAAAGCCCGCUCGCCGGAAGACCAAGGGUUCCUGUCCAACGUUAAUCGGGGCAGGGUGAGUCGACCCCUAAGGCGAGGCCGAAAGGCGUAGUCGAUGGGAAACGGGUUAAUAUUCCCGUACUUGGUGUUACUGCGAAGGGGGGACGGAGAAGGCUAUGUUGGCCGGGCGACGGUUGUCCCGGUUUAAGCGUGUAGGUGUGUGUUCCAGGUAAAUCCGGUUCACUUUAACACUGAGGCGUGACGACGAGGCACUACGGUGCUGAAGCAACAAAUGCCCUGCUUCCAGGAAAAGCCUCUAAGCAUCAGGUAACAUCAAAUCGUACCCCAAACCGACACAGGUGGUCAGGUAGAGAAUACCAAGGCGCUUGAGAGAACUCGGGUGAAGGAACUAGGCAAAAUGGUGCCGUAACUUCGGGAGAAGGCACGCUGACACGUAGGUGAAGUGAUUUACUCACGGAGCUGAAGUCAGUCGAAGAUACCAGCUGGCUGCAACUGUUUAUUAAAAACACAGCACUGUGCAAACACGAAAGUGGACGUAUACGGUGUGACGCCUGCCCGGUGCCGGAAGGUUAAUUGAUGGGGUCAGCGCAAGCGAAGCUCCUGAUCGAAGCCCCGGUAAACGGCGGCCGUAACUAUAACGGUCCUAAGGUAGCGAAAUUCCUUGUCGGGUAAGUUCCGACCUGCACGAAUGGCGUAAUGAUGGCCAGGCUGUCUCCACCCGAGACUCAGUGAAAUUGAACUCGCUGUGAAGAUGCAGUGUACCCGCGGCAAGACGGAAAGACCCCGUGAACCUUUACUAUAGCUUGACACUGAACAUUGAGCCUUGAUGUGUAGGAUAGGUGGGAGGCUUUGAAGCGUGGACGCCAGUCUGCGUGGAGCCGACCUUGAAAUACCACCCUUUAAUGUUUGAUGUUCUAACGUGGACCCGUGAUCCGGGUUGCGGACAGUGUCUGGUGGGUAGUUUGACUGGGGCGGUCUCCUCCUAAAGAGUAACGGAGGAGCACGAAGGUUGGCUAAUCCUGGUCGGACAUCAGGAGGUUAGUGCAAUGGCAUAAGCCAGCUUGACUGCGAGCGUGACGGCGCGAGCAGGUGCGAAAGCAGGUCAUAGUGAUCCGGUGGUUCUGAAUGGAAGGGCCAUCGCUCAACGGAUAAAAGGUACUCCGGGGAUAACAGGCUGAUACCGCCCAAGAGUUCAUAUCGACGGCGGUGUUUGGCACCUCGAUGUCGGCUCAUCACAUCCUGGGGCUGAAGUAGGUCCCAAGGGUAUGGCUGUUCGCCAUUUAAAGUGGUACGCGAGCUGGGUUUAGAACGUCGUGAGACAGUUCGGUCCCUAUCUGCCGUGGGCGCUGGAGAACUGAGGGGGGCUGCUCCUAGUACGAGAGGACCGGAGUGGACGCAUCACUGGUGUUCGGGUUGUCAUGCCAAUGGCACUGCCCGGUAGCUAAAUGCGGAAGAGAUAAGUGCUGAAAGCAUCUAAGCACGAAACUUGCCCCGA
rnacentral:rRNA from 1 species